UUCUCUCUUCUCAGUUGUCGAAAGAGAUGCAAUCUUAAAGCUUGGGGAAAUCCAAAGUGAGAAUUUUAAAUAUUCAACUUGUUUAAGGUUCUUAAGUUCUUAAGUGGGAUAUCCUGGACAGAGUUUUCCUCAGCAUUUCCCUGUUUGAAGCAUUCUUUUGGAAGAAACCUGAAAUGGAUAUGGAUUUCUAUUAACCAUACUGAUAGUGUUUAUCCUCAUGCAAUUACCUGUGAAUCACUGGAGAUAUCAAAUCCGAGUCGAGACUCUUGAUAUCCGUAGGCUUGGUCACCAGAGAGACCAGAGAACCCACAACGACAACCGUAAGUGCCCCAAUUGGGUUUAUCCAUUGGAAUGAGAGUCGGAAUAGUGGAAACACCUGCUCCUCGUCCACCCAAACAUUUUCGGGAGCAGUCACAUUGCCGGGGCAACUUGCGAGGGACACAGGAAGCUGAUGGUGAUGAAGUUGUCCGGAUGCCGCCGCAAUUUGCGACCCGAAAGUUAUCCAUCCCGUCAGGAGGAAGCCAGCGAUUCCGCCCACCGCAGUGCCCACUGUAUUCGCCCAGGGAACCAGCACUCCCAGGGUAAAUAUGCCAAAGGUGGAACUAGUUGCGAUGGCCACCAGAGACAUG